rnacentral:rRNA from 1 species
GGAUUGAACGCUGGCGGCAUGGCUAACACAUGCAAGUCGAACGGGAGUAGCAAUACUCUAGUGGCGGACGGGUGAGGAAUACGUAGGAAUUUGCCCUUAAGUGGGGGAUAACCCGGGGAAACCCGGAUUAAUACCGCAUGACCUCGAAAGAGCAAAGUGGGGGAUCGCAAGACCUCACGCUUUUGGAGAAGCCUACGUCGGAUUAGCUAGUUGGUGAGGUAAUGGCUCACCAAGGCGACGAUCCGUAACUGGUCUGAGAGGAUGAUCAGUCACACCGGAACUGAGACACGGUCCGGACUCCUACGGAGGCAGCAGUGGGGAAUAGUUGGACAAGUGGGCGCAAGGCCUGAUCCGAGCAAUGCCGCGUGUGUGAAGAAGGCCUUGGUUGUAAGCACGUUUAAGU